AAUAGAUACCCUGGUAGUCCACGCCCUAAACGAUGUCAACUAGCUGUUGGGGCCUUCGGGCCUUAGUAGCGCAGCUAACGCGUGAAGUUGACCGCCUGGGGAGUACGGUCGCAAGAUUAAAACUCAAAGGAAUUGACGGGGACCCGCACAAGCGGUGGAUGAUGUGGAUUAAUUCGAUGCAACGCGAAAAACCUUACCUACCCUUGACAUGUCUGGAAGCUUCGAGAGAUUGAAGUGUGCUCGCAAGAGAACCGGAACACAGGUGCUGCAUGGCUGUCGUCAGCUCGUGUCGUGAGAUGUUGGGUUAAGUCCCGCAACGAGCGCAACCCUUGUCAUUAGUUGCUACGAAAGGGCACUCUAAUGAGACUGCCGGUGACAAACCGGAGGAAGGUGGGGAUGACGUCAAGUCCUCAUGGCCCUUAUGGGUAGGGCUUCACACGUCAUACAAUGGUCGGGACAGAGGGUCGCCAACCCGCAAGGGGGAGCCAGUCCCAGAAACCCGAUCGUAGUCCGGAUUGGAGUCUGCAACUCGACUCC
rnacentral:rRNA from 1 species